AUUGAACGCUGGCGGCAGGCCUAACACAUGCAAGUCGAGCGGAUGAAGGGAGCUUGCUCCUGGAUUCAGCGGCGGACGGGUGAGUAAUGCCUAGGAAUCUGCCUGGGAGUGGGGGAUAACGUCCGGAAACGGGCGCUAAUACCGCAUACGUCCUGAGGGAGAUAGUGGGGGAUCUUCGGACCUCACGCUAUCAGAUGAGCCUAGGUCGGAUUAGCUAGUUGGUGGGGUAAAGGCCUACCAAGGCGACGAUCCGUAACUGGUCUGAGAGGAUGAUCAGUCACACUGGAACUGAGACACGGUCCAGACUCCUACGGGAGGCAGCAGUGGGGAAUAUUGGACAAUGGGCGAAAGCCUGAUCCAGCCAUGCCGCGUGUGUGAAGAAGGUCUUCGGAUUGUAAAGCACUUUAAGUUGGGAGGAAGGGCAGUAAGUUAAUACCUUGCUGUUUUGACGUUACCAACAGAAUAAGCACCGGCUAACUUCGUG
rnacentral:rRNA from 1 species